UAUGAUAGCAUCAGCUCUCACGUGAUGAAGCUCUGGUUCCUGUUUAAAUCCUAAAGGAAUAGCAAUUUUUGCUCUUUGAGACAUGCAGAAUUCUUUUGAACUCCUGUUGGAUUCAGGGAUCACAGGGAUCAGCUUGACUCUUGGAAGCGGGAUGUAUUCAUUCAGAGGCAGCAGCUUUGGCAGCCAAAGAGGAUUGUCAGAGCCUAUUUUCCUUUUAGCAGCAGGAUUGUUUAAUGGGCUACACAGCAUGGCUCCUGAAGACUAUGGCUCCAAGCCCUGAAGGCACAUACUCCAAAUCCAGCACAUGCUCUCUCCCUGCUAAUUUUCCAGCACUAUUCAGAAGAAGGAAACUGGAUGUAGGAAACAGCAAUAGAAAGAAGAGGGGCUUGGCCAAGCGUAAUACUUGCAGCUGCGUUUCUGUUUCUGGGAGAGCUCUGAUUUGCUGUUUCUUCGCAGCAGCAUGUUCAGGAGAGUGAGAUUUGGCAUAGGCUUUCACAUGGCUUUCUUCUUGCGGCGAAGAAGAAAUGGCAGGAACUCCAUUAGUACAUUUUUAAAUUGCCCACUUAUUUCCCAUUGAAAGGGAGAGAUUUUAGGCUAUUUUACAGGAUAAUAGAAUAAUGAACAGCAAUUAGUCAAAGGUCAUAAAAAGAAUGCUUCUUAGUAUGAUAACAUUUGUCAGCACAAUUGUGUCAUUUAGAUAGAAAGGUGCUUUUCAUUUUUUGCUGUCACUGUGUUCAAUUUCUAAACAUUUUAAAUUCAAGAAAAUAGUAUCAAUGUAAACCCUGCACUGCUACUUUAGCCUUGGAAUCAAGAGGAUGUUUAAGAAAAAUACAUUUUAAUGUGUCAGCUUAUCAGUAAAUUUUGACUUUUUAAGCUAUCAUACUUAUUUUUUUCUACAAUUUGUCAAAUUGAUUUUGACACAGUGUCUAUGCUAUGCGUGGUGAAUAUAAAUUAGAUCUGGGUAGCCAACAUUUUAAAUGUUUUAGUCAUCUUGUAAAUAUUCAAAUGCAUGGCUUCCAAAAGAAUGUGAACUACUGGGCACUGGCAACAUGUUUUCCAGUAACUGAAUUAGCAGAAUUGGGCAUUGUGGGAAGCCUCUACCAUUUGGUUACUUUACAGUUCUCAAGGCUAAGGAAAGGAGAAGGAACACAAAAGACACAAAUGCUUCAGAUUCCUCUCCCUUGACAUCAAGGCAGUGAAUGUGUGAAUGGAGAUGACAUGCUCCUGAACUGCAGAAUAUUGAAUGAUGGUUGCCUUUAAAAGAAAUCUAACAUUGCUACAGUAUUCCAUUUAGGGCCCAUAAGUCUGCAUUAUGUAUUGAAUAAUAAAAAGUCACCUAAUA